UACGGAGGGUGCAAGCGUUAUCCGGAUUCACUGGGUUUAAAGGGUGCGUAGGUGGGUUGGUAAGUCAGUGGUGAAAUCUCCGGGCUUAACCCGGAAACUGCCAUUGAUACUAUCAGUCUUGAAUACCGUGGAGGUAAGCGGAAUAUGUCAUGUAGCGGUGAAAUGCUUAGAUAUGACAUAGAACACCAAUUGCGAAGGCAGCUUACUACCCGAAUAUUGACACUGAGGCACGAAAGCGUGGGGAUCAAACAGG
rnacentral:rRNA from 1 species